rnacentral:rRNA from 1 species
CAGUCGCCGCGGUAAUACGAAGGGUGCAAGCGUUGUCCGGAAUUAUUGGGCGUAAAGGGCUCGCAGGCGGUUUCUUAAGUCUGAUGUGAAAGCCCCCGGCUCAACCGGGGAGGGUCAUUGGAAACUGGGAAACUUGAGUGCAGAAGAGGAGAGUGGAAUUCCACGUGUAGCGGUGAAAUGCGUAGAGAUCGGGAGGAACAUCAGUGGCGAAGGCGGCCAUCUGGGACAACACUGACGCUGAGGCACGAAAGCGUGGGGAGCAAACAGGAUUAGAUACCCCAGUAGUCCCUGUCUCUUAUAA